AGUAUAAUUGCUGGGAUAUAUGGUAAGUAUAUGGUUUUUCAAAGAAAUUGAUCAAUUAUUUUCCAGAGCGGCUAUACCAUUUUACUUUCCUAUCAGCAAU
rnacentral:pre_miRNA from 1 species